rnacentral:rRNA from 1 species
GCGAACCGGAAUAGAUACCCGGGUAGUCCUGGCUGUAAAGGAUGCGGGCUAGGUGUCGGGUGAGCUUCGAGCUCGCCCGGUGCCGAAGGGAAGCCGUUAAGCCCGCCGCCUGGGGAGUACGGCCGCAAGGCUGAAACUUAAAGGAAUUGGCGGGGGAGCACUACAGGGGGUGGAGCGUGCGGUUUAAUUGGAUUCAACGCCGGGAACCUCACCGGGGGCGACGGCAGGAUGAAGGCCAGGCUGAAGGUCUUGCCGGACACGCCGAGAGGAGGUGCAUGGCCGCCGUCAGCUCGUACCGUGAGGCGUCCACUUAAGUGUGGUAACGAGCGAGACCCGCGCCCCCAGUUGCCAGUCCUCCCCGCUGGGGAGGAGGCACUCUGGGGGGACCGCCGGCGAUAAGCCGGAGGAAGGAGCGGGCGACGGUAGGUCAGUAUGCCCCGAAACCCCCGGGCUACACGCGCGCUACAAUGGGCGGGACAAUGGGGACCGACCCCGAAAGGGGAAGGGAAUCCCCUAAACCCGCCCCCAGUUCGGAUCGCGGGCUGCAACUCGCCCGCGUGAAGCUGGGAUCCCGAGACCCGCG